rnacentral:rRNA from 1 species
GUAAGGAAUAUUGGUCAAUGGGCGCAAGCCUGAACCAGCAACGCCGCGUGGAGGAAGAAGGGUUUCGGCUCGUAAACUCCUUUUAGGUGGGACGAGACAGGACGGUACCACCUGAAUAAGUCUCGGCUAACUACGUGCCAGCAGCCGCGGUAAAACGUAGGAGACGAGCGUUAUCCGGAUUUACUGGGCGUAAAGCGCGUGCAGGCGGUUAGAUAAGUCACUUGUGAAAGCACCCGGCUCAACUGGGUGAGGCCAGGUGAGACUGUCUAACUUGAGAGAGGUAGAGGCGAAUGGAAUUCCGGGUGGAGUGGUGAAAUGCGUAGAGAUCCGGAGGAACACCAGUGGCGAAGGCGAUUCGCUGGGCCUACUCUGACGCUCAGACGCGACAGCAUGGGGAGCGAACGGGAUUAGAAACCCUAGUAGUCC